GACGAAGGGGGCUAGCGUUGCUCGGAAUUACUGGGCGUAAAGCGCACGUAGGCGGCUUUCUAAGUCGGGGGUGAAAUCCUGGAGCUCAACUCCAGAACUGCCUUCGAUACUGGAGAGCUUGAGUCCGGGAGAGGUGAGUGGAACUGCGAGUGUAGAGGUGAAAUUCGUAGAUAUUCGCAAGAACACCAGUGGCGAAGGCGGCUCACUGGCCCGGUACUGACGCUGAGGUGCGAAAGCGUGGGGAGCAAACAGG
rnacentral:rRNA from 1 species